AAUAUUGUGUUUUUCGUUCGUCAGAUCAAUGUAUAUUAAGAUUUUGUAGUCUUUUUUCAAAUUUUCUAUUCGUUGAAUGCUGGAUAGAAACACGAAUGGCUUAACAGCCAUUUCCGACUAUCAAGACAAGUUUUGCUGCAGCUAUGCAAUUCAGCAUCUAAAUCAUCGGACACACUGCUCUCACCUGAUACCCUCUCAGGUUCAAGUCCUGUCCACCAUUGGUUUCUUGGCUACAGGGACAUUUCAGAGGGGAUUUGGCAGAUCAGACUGGGAUUUCACAACCUGGGGUUCCAUGGCAUUGCUGGAAUGCCAAACACUAUUGGAGCAAUAGACUGCACCCAUGUGCGCAUCAAAACUCUGUCUACCGACUCCAUGCAAUUUAUGAACCGGAAAAUGAUCAUUCCAUCCACGUGCAGGUGACCCGGGAUAUGGCCAGGCAACUAGACUGCAGGCCACAUGACAUACAACCAAAUGCAGGAUCUCCUGGCAGGGCUGCAGUUCACUUCUAAUGAUGGAGAGCCAGCUGGUUGUGGACAACCUCGUCGGUCUGGACACGGUCAUGCUGAUGAGAUUCCUGGGGUAUGCUUUGGGAAGUGGAUUGUGUGGCUGGCAGCUGGGAGUGAGUGGUCGAUGGCACGUCAUCCUCUACUCCAGCAUCAUCUGGACCUACAAUUCAAAUUUGAAGUUUUGUUUGCAUUACUAUUUACAUUUGAAUAAAAUUUAAAUGUUA